rnacentral:rRNA from 1 species
CACGUAGGGUGCGAGCGUUGUCCGGAAUUAUUGGGCGUAAAGAGCUCGUAGGCGGUGUGUCGCGUCGGCCGUGAAAACCUGCAGCUUAACUGUGGGCUUGCGGUCGAUACGGGCAUCACUGGAGUUCGGCAGGGGAGACUGGAAUUCCUGGUGUAGCGGUGAAAUGCGCAGAGUAUCAGGAGGAACACCGGUGGCGAAGGCGGGUCUCUGGGCCGAUGACUGACGCUGGAGGAAGCGAAAGCGUUGGGGAGCGAACAGGAUUAG